rnacentral:rRNA from 1 species
CGCUGGCGGCAUGCCUAAUACAUGCAAGUCGAGCGAACAGAUGAAGUGCUUGCACUUCUGACGUUAGCGGCGAACGGGUGAGUAACACGUAAGGAAUCUACCUAUAAGCGGGGGAUAACAUUCGGAAACGGGUGCUAAUACCGCAUAAUAUCUUCUUCCGCAUGGAAGAAGAUUGAAAGACGGCUCUGCUGUCACUUAUAGAUGACCUUGCGGUGCAUUAGUUAGUUGGUGGGGUAAUGGCCUACCAAGACGAUGAUGCAUAGCCGACCUGAGAGGGUGAUCGGCCACAUUGGGACUGAGACACGGCCCAAACUCCUACGGGAGGCAGCAGUAGGGAAUCUUCCGCAAUGGGCGAAAGCCUGACGGAGCAAUGCCGCGUGAGUGAAGAAGGCCUUCGGGUCGUAAAACUCUGUUAUAAGAGAAGAACAAAUUGUAGAGUAACUGCUACAGUCUUGACGGUAUCUUAUCAGAAAGCCACGGCUAACUACGUG